CCUACGGGAGGCAGCAGUGGGGAAUUUUGCGCAAUGCUCGUAAGAGUGACGCAGCGACGCCGCGUGAAUGACGAAGGCCUUCGGGUCGUAAAGUUCUUUCGACAGGGAAGAAAAUGCCUAGAAGUAACUGUGUAUGUAUUGACGGUACCUGUAUAAGCAGCCCCGGCUAACUCCGUGCCAGCAGCCGCGGUAAUACGGAGGGGGCGAGCGUUGUUCGGAGUGACUGGGCGUAAAGAGCACGUAGGCGGUGUUGUAAGUCAAUAGUCAAAGACUAGAGCUCAACUUUAGUAAGGCUAGUGAUACUAUAAUACUGGAGUAUCAGAGAGGAUUGCAGAAUUCCUGGUGUAGCGGUGAAAUGCGUAGAUAUCAGGAGGAAUACCGUUAGCGAAGGCGACAAUCUGGCUGGAAACUGACGCUGAGGUGCGAAAGCGUGGGUAGCAAACAGGAUUAGAUACCCCUGUAGUC
rnacentral:rRNA from 1 species